rnacentral:lncRNA from 1 species
UAAAGAGCGAAUGUCGAUGACAAGUUUCCGAUACAUUCUAUAACUGUCUGUACAAGAAUUAGAGAAUUUUCAAUAGUACAUGUAAAUGUUAUUAUUACGUUAAAAGUUGUUCAAUGGAGCAAUACAUUAAGCAUCAAAUGAAAGGACAAUAGAUUACUCGGAUGUCUCAAUAAUAUUUUAUUGCAUUCGGAACGUCCAAUGGGAGUGAGCUGUUAAAGGAACAUUCUUCUUGACAUUAUACCGAUAUGCUAAUAUUCUCAAACGAAUGAAGUGGGGAAUAGAGAAGAAAAUAAAUUAUAUUUAAGAAUAAAUUACUCGGAUGUCUCAAUAAUAUUUAAUUGCAUUCGGAACGUCCAAUGGGAGUGAGCUGUUAAAGGAACAUUCUUCUUAACAUUAUACCGAUAUGCUAAUAUUCUCAAACAAAUGAAGUGGGGAAUAGA